rnacentral:siRNA from 1 species
GGAGCACUAUGAUGUCCAGGGCC